rnacentral:rRNA from 1 species
ACGGGAGGCAGCAGUGAGGAAUAUUGGUCAAUGGGCGAGAGCCUGAACCAGCUAUGUCGCGUGGAGGAAUAGGGAUCUAUGGUUCGUAAACUCCUUUUGCGGGGGGAUAAAGUGCGGGACGUGUCCCGUAUUGCAGGUACCCCGCGAAUAAGCAUCGGCUAACUCCGUGCCAGCAGCCGCGGUAAUACGGAGGAUGCGAGCGUUAUCCGGAUUUAUUGGGUUUAAAGGGUGCGUAGGCGGCCCCUUAAGUCGGCGGUGAAAUUUCCGGGCUCAACCCGGUCACUGCCGUCGAAACUGGGGGGCUUGAGUGCGUUUGGGGUGGCUGGAAUGUGCGGUGUAGCGGUGAAAUGCAUAGAUAUCGCACAGAACGCCGAUCGCGGAGGCAGGGCACCAAGCCGCAACUGACGCUGAGGCACGAAAGCGCGGGGAUCGAACAGGAUUAGAUACCCUGGUA